AACGCACAUUGCGCCCCUCGGUUCCCGAGGGGCACGCCUGUCCGAGCGCCAUCGGAGAAACCUCGAGCCGCGUGCUCGCAGUUGGACGGCGCCCCCCCUUCCGCGGGGGGCCCGCCCGGAAACCUUCGGCGCCCCGCCGGGCCCCGAGCGCACCGAGCCCACCAGCCCGCGCGCGAGGCCCCGGCCGGCGGCCGCCCCGACCCGCCGCACGGCGACCCCAAGGAAGGCCUCGGAUCAGGCGGGGUUACCCGCUGAACUUAA
rnacentral:misc_RNA from 1 species